GACGAACGCUGGCGGCGUGCCUAAUACAUGCAAGUUGAGCGCUGAAGGUUGGUACUUGUCCCGACUGGAUGAGCAGCGAACGGGUGAGUAACGCGUGGGGAAUCUGCCUUUGAGCGGGGGACAACAUUUGGAAACGAAUGCUAAUACCGCAUAAAAACUUUAAACACAAGUUUUAAGUUUGAAAGAUGCAAUUGCAUCACUCAAAGAUGAUCCCGCGUUGUAUUAGCUAGUUGGUGAGGUAAAGGCUCACCAAGGCGAUGAUACAUAGCCGACCUGAGAGGGUGAUCGGCCAAAUUGGGACUGAGACACGGCCCAAACCCCUACGGGAGGCAGCAGUAGGGAAUCUUCGGCAAUGGACGAAAGUCUGACCGAGCAACGCCGCGUGAGUGAAGAAGGUUUUCGGAUCGUAAAACUCUGUUGGUAGAGAAGAACGUUGGUGAGAGUGGAAAGCUCAUCAAGUGACGGUAACUACCCAGAAAGGGACGGCUAACUACGUG
rnacentral:rRNA from 1 species